rnacentral:rRNA from 1 species
GAUGAACGCUAGCGGCAGGCCUAAUACAUGCAAGUCGAGCGGCAAGUUGAGAAGCAAUUCGAGACCUAGAGCGGCGUACGGGUGCGUAACGCGUAUGCAACCUACCUCAUACAGGGGGAUAGCCCGGAGAAAUCUGGAUUAAUACCCCAUAGUACAUAUAGAGGGCAUCUGAAAUAUGUUAAAGAUUCAUUGGUAUGAGAUGGGCAUGCGUCUGAUUAGCUAGUUGGCGGGGUAACGGACCACCAAGGCGACGAUCAGUAGGGGUUCUGAGAGGAAGGUCCCCCAAACUGGAACUGAGAUACGGGCCAGACUCCUACGGGAGGCAGCAGUAGGGAAUAUUGGGCAAUGGUCGGAAGACUGACCCAGCCAUGCCGCGUGCAGGAAGAAGGCCCUCUGGGUUGUAAACUGCUUUUAUCUGGGAAGAAAAGGCCCGUGCGCGGGACAUUGCCGGUACCAGAUGAAUAAGCACCGGCUAACUCCGUGCCAGCCGCCGCGGUAACAC